rnacentral:rRNA from 1 species
GCUCAGGAUGAACGCUGGCGGUCUGCUUAACACAUGCAAGUCGAACGCAACCUUCGGGUUGAGUGGCGGACGGGUGAGUAACGCGUGAGAAUCUGCCUUGGGGUCGGGGACAACCACUGGAAACGGUGGCUAAUACCGGAUAAGCCUUUGGGUAAAAAAUUUAUUGCCCCAAGAGGAGCUCGCGUCUGAUUAGCUAGUUGGUGAGGUAAAAGCUCACCAAGGCAGCGAUCAGUAGCUGGUCUGAGAGGACGAUCAGCCACACUGGGACUGAGACACGGCCCAGACUCCUACGGGAGGCAGCAGUGGGGAAUUUUCCGCAAUGGGCGAAAGCCUGACGGAGCAAGACCGCGUGAGGGAGGAAGGCUCUUGGGUUGUAAACCUCUUUUCUCAGGGAAGAAGCUCUGACGGUACCUGAGGAAUCAGCCUCGGCUAACUCCGUGCCAGCAGCCGCGGUAAUACGGAGGAGGCAAGCGUUAUCCGGAAUUAUUGGGCGUAAAGCGUCCGCAGGUGGCGAUUCAAGUCUGCUGUCAAAGCACGGGGCUUAACUCCGUUAAGGCAGUGGAAACUGAAUAGCUAGAGUGCCGUAGGGGUAGAGGGAAUUCCCGGUGUAGCGGUGAAAUGCGUAGAGAUCGGGAAGAACAUCGGUGGCGAAAGCGCUCUACUGGACGGCAACUGACACUCAGGGACGAAAGCUAGGGGAGCGAAUGGGAUUAGAUACCCCAGUAGUCCUAGCUGUAAACGAUGGAUACUAGGUGUAGCUUGUAUCGACCCGAGCUGUGCCGAAGCUAACGCGUUAAGUAUCCCGCCUGGGGAGUACGCACGCAAGUGUGAAACUCAAAGGAAUUGACGGGGGCCCGCACAAAGCGGUGGAGUAUGUGGUUUAAUUCGAUGCAACG